UCUAUUAAAUGUAAUUUGCCAUGUAUCUGCCCAGUUCUGAAUCUUGGGCAGAUACAUGGCAAAUGACAUACAGUGUGAGACUGGCAAGUAGCUUCUCAAGCCAGAUCAGGAAGAGAGGUAGCAGAACAUUCCUGCAUGUCUCACGCUUCCUGCACAUCUGUGAUCCAAUAAAGAUUAUUCACCUUUGACAUGUGAUCGUUUCUUUUCAUUCAUUUAGUUGUGCCAUCGAGAUCAUUCAAGUGUCAAAACUGACCCAAGAGAUGCUGGAUGAAAAAUGCACAAUGACACGCAACAAGAGUGUCUUAUCCAGGAUCCAGGAUUUCUGCAGCAUUGA